rnacentral:rRNA from 1 species
UACGGAGGGGGCGAGCGUUGUCCGAAGUUACUGGGCGUAAAGCGCGCGUAGGCGGGUUGGUAAGUCCGCUGUGAAAGCCCGGAGCUCACUCCGGAGGGUCGGUGGAUACUGCCAGUCUUGAAGGUGCUAGGGGGAGAUGGAAUUACCGGUGUAGCGGUGAAAUGCGUAGAGAUCGGUAGGAACACCAGUGGCGAAGGCGGUCUCCUGGGGCGAUUCUUGACGCUGAGGCGCGAAAGCUAGGGGAGCAAACAGG